UGCGUAGGCGGAAGAAUAAGUCAGUGGUGAAACCCUGCAGCUUAACUGUAGACUUGCCAUUGAUACUGUUUUUCUUGAGUAUGGUCAAGGCAGGCGGAAUGUGUAAUGUAGCGGUGAAAUGCUUAGAUAUUACACAGAACACCGAUAGCGAAGGCAGCUUGCUGGGCCGUUACUGACGCUGAUGCACGAAAGCGUGGGGAUCGAACAGGAUUAGAUACCCUGGUAGUCC
rnacentral:rRNA from 1 species